GCCGAGGUGGCGGAAUUGGCAGACGCGCACGUUUGAGGGGCGUGUGGGGUAACCCGUGGGGGUUCGAGUCCCCCCCUCGGCACCC
rnacentral:tRNA from 1 species